rnacentral:sRNA from 1 species
AGAACUAGAAGACGAUACGGAGCUGUUAGUGUGCAUAUUCAGUGGUGAACUAUGACAAUGUAGUGGACACAGGUUCUGAAACAGAUGAGGAAGACAAGCUUCAUAUUGCUGAGGAUGACGGUAUUGCCAACCCUCUGGACCAGGAGACGAGUCCAGCUAGUGUGCCCAACCAUGAGUCCUCCCCACACGUGAGCCAAGCUCUGUUGCCAAGAGAGGAAGAGGAAGAUGAAAUAAGGGAGGGUGGAGUGGAACACCCCUGGCACAACAACGAGAUUCUACAAGCCUCUGUAGAUGGUCCAGAAGAAAUGAAGGAAGACUAUGACACUAUGGGGCCAGAAGCCACGAUCCAGACCGCAAUUAACAAUGGUACAGUGAAGAAUGCAAAUUGCACAUCAGAUUUUGAGGAAUACUUUGCCAAAAGAAAACUGGAGGAACGCGAUGGUCAUGCAGUCAGCAUCGAGGAGUACCUUCAGCGCAGUGACACAGCCAUUAUUUACCCAGAAGCCCCUGAGGAGCUGUCUCGCCUUGGCACGCCAGAGGCCAAUGGGCAAGAAGAAAAUGACCUGCCACCUGGAACUCCAGAUGCUUUUGCCCAACUGCUGACCUGCCCCUACUGCGACCGGGGCUACAAGCGCUUGACAUCACUGAAGGAGCACAUCAAGUACCGCCACGAGAAGAAUGAAGAGAACUUUUCCUGCCCUCUCUGUAGCUACACGUUUGCCUACCGCACCCAGCUCGAGCGGCAUAUGGUGACGCACAAGCCAGGGACAGAUCAGCACCAAAUGCUAACCCAAGGAGCAGGUAAUCGCAAGUUCAAAUGCACAGAGUGUGGCAAGGCCUUCAAAUAUAAACACCAUCUGAAAGAACACCUGCGAAUUCACAGUGGUGAAAAACCUUACGAGUGCCCAAACUGCAAGAAACGUUUCUCCCAUUCUGGUUCCUACAGUUCGCACAUCAGCAGCAAGAAAUGUAUUGGUUUAAUCUCUGUAAAUGGCCGAAUGAGAAACAAUAUCAAGACGGGUUCUUCCCCUAAUUCUGUUUCUUCUUCUCCUACUAAUUCAGCCAUUACCCAGUUAAGAAACAAGUUGGAGAAUGGAAAACCACUUAGUAUGUCUGAACAGACAGGCUUACUUAAAAUUAAAACAGAACCACUAGACUUCAAUGACUAUAAAGUUCUUAUGGCUACACACGGGUUUAGUGGCACUAGUCCCUUUAUGAAUGGUGGGCUUGGAGCCACCAGCCCUUUAGGAGUUCAUCCAUCUGCUCAGAGUCCAAUGCAGCACUUAGGUGUAGGGAUGGAAGCCCCUUUACUUGGGUUUCCCACCAUGAAUAGUAAUUUAAGUGAGGUACAAAAGGUUCUACAGAUUGUGGACAAUACUGUUUCCAGGCAAAAAAUGGAUUGCAAGGCUGAAGAAAUUUCAAAGUUGAAAGGUUAUCACAUGAAGGAUCCAUGCUCUCAACCUGAGGAACAAGGAGUUACUUCUCCUAAUAUUCCGCCUGUCGGUCUUCCGGUAGUGAGUCAUAAUGGUGCCACUAAAAGUAUUAUUGACUAUACGUUGGAAAAAGUCAAUGAAGCCAAAGCUUGCCUCCAGAGCUUGACUACUGACUCAAGGAGACAGAUCAGUAAUAUAAAGAAAGAGAAGCUACGUACUUUAAUAGAUUUGGUCACCGAUGACAAAAUGAUUGAGAACCACAACAUAUCCACUCCAUUUUCAUGCCAGUUCUGUAAAGAAAGUUUUCCUGGCCCCAUCCCUUUGCAUCAGCAUGAACGUUACCUUUGUAAGAUGAAUGAAGAGAUCAAGGCGGUCCUGCAGCCUCAUGAAAACAUAGUCCCCAACAAAGCCGGAGUUUUUGUUGAUAAUAAAGCCCUCCUCUUGUCAUCUGUACUUUCUGAGAAAGGAAUGACAAGCCCCAUCAACCCAUACAAGGACCACAUGUCUGUACUCAAAGCAUACUAUGCUAUGAACAUGGAGCCCAACUCCGAUGAACUGCUGAAAAUUUCCAUUGCUGUGGGCCUUCCUCAGGAAUUUGUGAAGGAAUGGUUUGAACAACGAAAAGUCUACCAGUACUCAAAUUCCAGGUCCCCAUCCCUGGAAAGAAGCUCCAAGCCGUUAGCUCCCAACAGUAACCCUCCCACAAAAGACUCUUUAUUACCCAGGUCUCCUGUAAAACCUAUGGACUCCAUAACAUCACCAUCUAUAGCAGAACUCCACAACAGUGUUACGAAUUGUGAUCCUCCUCUCAGGCUAACAAAACCUUCCCAUUUUACCAAUAUUAAACCAGUUGAAAAAUUGGACCACUCCAGGAGUAAUACUCCUUCUCCCUUAAAUCUUUCCUCCACAUCUUCUAAAAACUCCCACAGUAGUUCAUACACUCCAAACAGCUUCUCUUCUGAGGAGCUCCAGGCUGAGCCUUUAGACUUGUCAUUACCAAAACAAAUGAAAGAACCCAAAAGUAUUAUAGCCACAAAGAACAAAACAAAAGCUAGUAGCAUCAGUUU